CCAGUCCCUAGAAGCAUUGCAGGUAUAGCUUCUGUGUCAUCUGGGGAGGGGGCAGAGAGGAGUGAGUCUGUGUGUAUGCUCCGUAUCCUUACCUAUGAACAUCUGAAUGAUUAGAAGCCUAACAGC